GAUGCCCAGCUUGCUGGGUGGAUUAGUGGCGAACGGGUGAGUAAUACGUGAGUAACCUGCCCUUGACUCUGGGAUAAGCCUGGGAAACUGGGUCUAAUACUGGAUACUACUUCUUACCGCAUGGUGGGUGGUGGAAAGGGUUUUACUGGUUUUGGAUGGGCUCACGGCCUAUCAGCUUGUUGGUGGGGUAAUGGCUCACCAAGGCGACGACGGGUAGCCGGCCUGAGAGGGUGACCGGCCACACUGGGACUGAGACACGGCCCAGACUCCUACGGGAGGCAGCAGUGGGGAAUAUUGCACAAUGGGCGGAAGCCUGAUGCAGCGACGCCGCGUGAGGGAUGACGGCCUUCGGGUUGUAAACCUCUUUCAGUAGGGAAGAAGCGAGAGUGACGGUACCUGCAGAAGAAGCGCCGGCUAACUACGUGCCAGCAGCCGCGGUAAUACGUAGGGCGCAAGCGUUGUCCGGAAUUAUUGGGCGUAAAGAGCUCGUAGGCGGUUUGUCGCGUCUGCUGUGAAAGCCCGGGGCUCAACCCCGGGUCUGCAGUGGGUACGGGCAGACUAGAGUGCAGUAGGGGAGACUGGAAUUCCUGGUGUAGCGGUGAAAUGCGCAGAUAUCAGGAGGAACACCGAUGGCGAAGGCAGGUCUCUGGGCUGUUACUGACGCUGAGGAGCGAAAGCAUGGGGAGCGAACAGGAUUAGAUACCCUGGUAGUCCAUGCCGUAAACGUUGGGCACUAGGUGUGGGGGACAUUCCACGUUUUCCGCGCCGUAGCUAACGCAUUAAGUGCCCCGCCUGGGGAGUACGGCCGCAAGGCUAAAACUCAAAGGAAUUGACGGGGGCCCGCACAAGCGGCGGAGCAUGCGGAUUAAUUCGAUGCAACGCGAAGAACCUUACCAAGGCUUGACAUUCACCGGAYCGCCCCAGAGAUGGGGUUUCCCUUCGGGGCUGGUGGACAGGUGGUGCAUGGUUGUCGUCAGCUCGUGUCGUGAGAUGUUGGGUUAAGUCCCGCAACGAGCGCAACCCUCGUUCUAUGUUGCCAGCACGUGAUGGUGGGGACUCAUAGGAGACUGCCGGGGUCAACUCGGAGGAAGGUGGGGAUGACGUCAAAUCAUCAUGCCCCUUAUGUCUUGGGCUUCACGCAUGCUACAAUGGCCGGUACAAAGGGUUGCGAUACUGUGAGGUGGAGCUAAUCCCAAAAAGCCGGUCUCAGUUCGGAUUGAGGUCUGCAACUCGACCUCAUGAAGUCGGAGUCGCUAGUAAUCGCAGAUCAGCAACGCUGCGGUGAAUACGUUCCCGGGCCUUGUACACACCGCCCGUCAAGUCACGAAAGUUGGUAACACCCGAAGCCGGUGGCCUAA
rnacentral:rRNA from 1 species